GACACGGAACCACGGGUGGAGCUCGCCAUCCUCUCUCUGUACUGUUUAAAUGGGCCGCACUCCAGCACUGCGUCCCGACCUGAUUGGUAUCAGACACUUCUGUGGAGUUAUCUUCAGCUGGACCACCCUAGAUGAAUAAAAACAAGGAUUCAGCCGCCGCUAGGCAUUCUGGGUUCAGGAAGGUCGGCCUCUCGAUCGGCACCCCGCACAAACGUUUUCCCCGGUUAUUUCAAGAAGCAAUACUGUUUGCAUUUAAUAUAUUCGUAACCUGAGCGCUGGGUCAAGAACGAACCGGAGAAAUAUCUUUGCAGUUUUAUCUGUUGGGAAAGACUGAAGGAACAAGGUGUGUCCUGAAGAUAAGUAAUUCAGUCCUGCAGGCUGCAGGGAGGUGACUGCAGAACCAGCCAAUACCCCUUACGCAUCAGCUACGAGACGAGUACAAGUGAUUCAGCCACACGCUCCUGGGUAUAAGUCAUUCAACCUUACACAGCAGCAGGUACGAGCCGUUCCACCACACAUACCACACUAACAAUGUAAACAUAUUUCAUGUUUGCAUAGAUGUUUUCAUAUUUACGUAUAUUUUUGACCAAAUUCGAACUGUUUUUUUUUUUGUAUAGUAUAAUUUAUUUGAGUAUAACUGGUAAAAUUUUUUCAAUCUGCAGAUUGACUUUGUGGGCUCUAGAUUCUGUUUUCCUGUAACGUUUCAGUUCCUCGAAAUCUGUCCUUCUGUCACCCUGAUUAAAAGCUCCUAAAAGGUCAGUUAGAAAAAAGCAAAUCCGACUGCCCUGGACUUGACUGAGAGGUCGGGACAGUAGGGGCGUGGUGGACGUCCUGGGUCUGAGGUUCGACUGUAGGUUCUCCUCGGCGAUGGCCACUGUUCAGGAUGGAUGAUAAAUGCGAUCCAGAAGAGAAAGGUCAAGAAAGACCUAUGCAAAGAUAAUGUUACUGGUCCGUCCUUGGAGCAAUGUGUGUAAAGGUUACCAUGAACCGGCUGCGUUGGAGGUUAUAUGCUGUUCACAGCAACGUUGUCCCACGUUUGGGCUUUUGGUGAAACCUCACAUGAUGCAAACAGACCUGGAAUGUUGAUUGGUUGCAGCUGAGCGGGGUUUUACAGCACAGCCCCACAGCAUCUGUUCGCUACAUUUCCAUCACCUUUCUUUUGGGUUGUGGGUUCCCCUUCCCCCGAGAACCCAAACCAAUGAGAGAAACCAUUUCCAAACGUGAAUAAUUAACAACGGACAGGAGCGUGAGAGUCACAGGGUGCGAGUCUCCUGGCUAUGGAACGGCAUGACAGAACGCAAAAGUCAUUGCUAGUGGGAUCUGCCUAGCAUGCUAUGGAUUGACGAGGAAUGGAUGGAUGGAAUGGCCUCCAAGCAACCUACUCCUGGGGGUCGCUCACACUCAUGCACUGUAGUCCCCUCCCAUCCAUGAGACCCCAGGCCUGCAGGGCAGAUCAUCCAGCACUCAGUCAGCAACAAGCUGUUCCUGCCCGCUGGGCAUUUUGCAGUGAUACUCCUCAAGCCGCACGUUCGCUCCAAGGAGGUAGAAUGAGGAGAGGGAGGGGGAUGUGGUGCAAAGGAGCCCAGCAUGACAGCGAGAGCACAGACCCGCAUACUGCUAUCACAAGAGACCCAGAAUAGCUCCUCCUCGUGUCUGCCUGUCUGCUCCCUGCCCCUCCCUCCACAAACCUACAAAUCCUCCAGGUCAACCCUAGCUCUCUCUAUCCA